CUGCGAAUGGCUCAUUAUAUCAGUUAUAGUUUAUUUGGUGAAGUGUACUACUUGGAUAACCGUAGUAAUUCUAGGGCUAAUACAUGAGAAAGUCCUCUGGUGAGGUGUGUUUAUUAGAAUGAAAACCAUAUGCUUCGGCAUGAUAGUGAGUAAUAGUAACCUAUCGUAUCGCAUGCUUAAUGUAGCGAUGAGUCUUUCAAGUUUCUGCCCUAUCAGCUUUCGAUGGUAGUAUAUGGGCCUACCAUGGCAGU
rnacentral:rRNA from 1 species